GAGGUUAUAGCUCAGUGUUAGAGCAGGUGCUUAGCAUGCACAAAGUCCUCGGUUCAAUCCCUAGUACCUCCA
rnacentral:tRNA from 1 species